GACGGAGGAGGCUAGCGUUGUUCGGAAUUACUGGGCGUAAAGCGCGCGCAGGCGGCUUAGCAAGUCAGGGGUGAAAGCCCGAGGCUCAACCUCGGAACUGCCUUUGAGACUGCUAGGCUCGAGACCGAGAGAGGAGAGUGGAAUUCCCAGUGUAGAGGUGAAAUUCGUAGAUAUUGGGAAGAACACCAGUGGCGAAGGCGGCUCUCUGGCUCGGUACUGACGCUGAGGCGCGAAAGCGUGGGGAGCAAACAGG
rnacentral:rRNA from 1 species